UUGCAAUGAUGAUUUCUUCAGUCUCGAGAGCAGGUCCCUGCUCGAUGAAUCUGGGAAAUAAUCACCGUUAUUUCCUCCUGAGCGGUUACCUGAGCAA